rnacentral:rRNA from 1 species
CACGUAGGGUGCGAGCGUUGUCCGGAAUUAUUGGGCGUAAAGAGCUCGUAGGCGGUCUGUCGCGUCUGCUGUGAAAACCUAGGGCUUAACUCUGGGCGUGCAGUGGGUACGGGCAGACUAGAGUGCGGUAGGGGAGACUGGAAUUCCUGGUGUAGCGGUGAAAUGCGCAGAUAUCAGGAGGAACACCGGUGGCGAAGGCGGGUCUCUGGGCCGUAACUGACGCUGGAGGAGCGGAAAGCAUGGGGAGCGAACAGG